rnacentral:lncRNA from 1 species
CCUUCAGCCCCAUAGAGGAAGUCCCCAGAGGAUGGAUGGUUCUGGAAGUUACGGGUUACCAGGACAACGCAUCCCCUCAGCCUGGCCACGCCCCCCGGGCUCCCGCUCACUGGUUGCAAAACUCAGCUUUGCCCCUGCACGGAGUUUCCCUUCGCGGGGCCCGCUGGGGAAGCAUCCGCGGCUUGUGGUGGCUGUGGUUUUGUGCCCAGGACUCACACGUAAAAGGAGCUCAUUCGGAGGCAGGGGCACGCGCUUGUCCCCAGAACUCAAACCCCAGAGUCCCUCCGGCAGAUGAGAGUGGAGGUUGUAAAUCACCCUCCAUGCAAUGGUUCAUCAUAAAGGAUAUGGAGCAAAAUUAGAGGAGGCACGAGAAGGAAAGCCGGUGAUGAACAAGGAAAGUGCCUGGUUGAAGCUAGCUUGCAAUCCCA